rnacentral:rRNA from 1 species
GACGAACGCUGGCGGCGUGCUUAAUACAUGCAAGUCAACUGAACUUUAGGUAGCAAUAUUUAAAGGGAGGUGGCGCACGGGUGAGUAACACGUAGGUAAUCUGCCUUCAGGACUGACAUAAUUCCGCGAAAGCGGGACUAAAAUCAGAUGAUGCAGCGGCUCGACAUCGAGACAGUUGUUAAACCUUCGGGGCCUGAAGAUGAGCCUGCGUCUGAUUAGGUAGUUGGCGGGGUAAAAGCCCACCAAGCCUGCGAUCAGUAGCUGGCCUGAGAGGAUGAUCAGCCACACUGGAACUGAGACACGGUCCAGACUCCUACGGGAGGCAGCAGUAAGGAAUAUUGCUCAAUGGCCGAAAGGCUGAAGCAGCAACGCCGCGUGGAGGAUGAAAUACUUUAGUAUGUAAACUCCUGUAAGAGGGGAAAAAUAUACAGCUAUGCUGUGUUGAUUGUACCCUCAGAGUAAGCACCGGCUAACU